rnacentral:rRNA from 1 species
UACAGAGGUCUCAAGCGUUGUUCGGAUUCAUUGGGCUUAAAGGGCGCGUAGGCGGCGAAUCAAGUCAGGGGUGAAAUCCGGCAGCUUAACUGUCGAAGUGCCUUUGAUACUGGUUUGCUCGAGGGAGGUAGGGGUGUGUGGAACUUCUGGUGGAGCGGUGAAAUGCGUUGAUAUCAGAAGGAACGCCGGUGGCGAAAGCGACGCACUGGACCUCUUCUGACGCUGAGGCGCGAAAGCUAGGGGAGCAAACGGG